rnacentral:rRNA from 1 species
UACGGAGGAUGCGAGCGUUAUCCGGAUUUAUUGGGUUUAAAGGGUGCGUAGGCGGACUGUCAAGUCAGCGGUAAAAUUGAGAGGCUCAACCUCUUCCCGCCGUUGAAACUGGUGGUCUUGAGUGGAUGAGAAGUACGCGGAAUGCGUGGUGUAGCGGUGAAAUGCAUAGAUAUCACGCAGAACUCCGAUUGCGAAGGCAGCGUACCGGCAUCCAACUGACGCUGAGGCACGAAUGCGUGGGGAUCAAACAGG